UACCAGACUCCUACGGGAGGCAGCAGUGGGGAAUAUUGGGCAAUGGAGGAAACUCUGACCCAGUAACGCCGCGUGAAUGAUGAAGGUCUUCGGAUUGUAAAGUUCUUUUCUAAGGGAAGAAGAAAGUGACGGUACCUUAGGAAUAAGCCUCGGCUAACUACGUGCCAGCAGCCGCGGUAAUACGUAGGGGGCAAGCGUUAUCCGGAUUUACUGGGUGUAAAGGGAGCGUAGACGGCAGCGCAAGUCUGAAGUGAAAUGCCGGGGCUUAACCCCGGAACUGCUUUGGAAACUGUGCAGCUAGAGUGCAGGAGAGGUAAGUGGAAUUCCUAGUGCAGCGGUGAAAUGCGUAGAUAUUAGGAGGAACACCAGUGGCGAAGGCGGCUUACUGGACUGUAACUGACGUUGAGGCUCGAAAGCGUGGGGAGCAAACAGGAUUAGAUACCCCCGUA
rnacentral:rRNA from 1 species